UGCGCAGGCGGUUUAAUAAGUCAGUGGUGAAAGGCUGCCGCUUAACGGUAGGAUUGCCAUUGAAACUGUUGGACUUGAGUACGGAUGAGGUAGGCGGAACGUGUAGUGUAGCGGUGAAAUGCAUAGAUAUUACACAGAACACCGAUUGCGAAGGCAGCUUACUAAACCGUUUCUGACGCUGAGGCACGAAAGCGUGGGUAGCGAACAGGAUUAGAUACCCUGGUAGUCC
rnacentral:rRNA from 1 species